UGACAUGGUACAGGUGUCCUAUUCUGACAUGGUACAGGUGUCCUAUUCUGACAUGGUACAGGUGUCCUAUUCUGACAUGGUACAGGUGUCCUAUAUCUGACAUGGUACAGGUGUCCUAUUCUGACAUGGUACAGGUGUCCUAUUCUGACAUGGUACAGGUGUCCUAUAUCUGACAUGGUACAGGUGUCCUAUAUCUGACAUGGUACAGGUGUCCUAUUCUGACAUGGUACAGGUGUCCUAUUUUGUUUUGUGAGGUGUAAACUAAUUUGUUUGACUACCCAUGACUACCCAUGACUACCCAUGACUACCCAUGACUACCCACUACUGCCCAUGAUUUAGAACACUGCUGUAAACAAGUAUAUUGUAGUGUGCUGCUCUCAGCCUCAGUGUAGUUAACUAAGAUAUGGAACACAUUAGUAACAAUACAGCAUUGUGGCGAUGCCUCAUUAUUCUCUAAUGACUGUAGGUAUCCUCUGUCCUGACUGUUCUGUUAGUUCCUGGUAUCCUCUGUCCUGACUGUUCUGUUAGUUCCUGGUAUCCAAUCCUCGACUUUGGCGAUGUCAUUUACAAAAUAGCCUCCAAUACCCUACUCAACAAAUUGGAUGCAGUCUAUCACAGUGCAAUCCGUUUUGUCACCAAAGCCCCAUAUACUACCCACCAUUGCGACCUGUACGCUCUCGUUGGCUGGCCCUCGCUUCAUACUCGUCGCCAAACCCACUGGCUCCAUGUCAUCUACAAGACCCUGCUAGGUAAAGUCCCCCCUUAUCUCAGCUCGCUGGUCACCAUCGCAUCUCCCACCUGUAGCACACGCUCCAGCAGGUAUAUCUCUCUAGUCACCCCCAAGACCAAUUCUUUCUUUGGCCGCCUCUCCUUCCAGUUCUCUGCUGCCAAUGACUGGAACGAACUACAAAAAUCUCUGAAACUGGAAACACUUAUCUCCCUCACUAGCUUUAAGCACCAACUGUCAGAGCAGCUCACAGAUUACUGCACCUGUACAUAGCCCACCUAAAAUUUAGCCCAAACAACUACCUCUUUCCCCACUGUAUUUAAUUUAUUUAUUUAUUUUGCUCCUUUGCACCCCAUUAUUUUUAUUUCUACUUUGCACAUUCUUCCACUGCAAAUCUACCAUUCCAGUGUUUUACUUGCUAUAUUGUAUUUACCUUGCCACCAAGGCCUUUUUUGCCUUUACCUCCCUUAUCUCACCUCAUUUGCUCACAUCGUAUAUAGACUUGUUUAUACUGUAUUAUUGACUGUAUGUUUGUUUUACUCCAUGUGUAACUCUGUGUCGUUGUAUCUGUCGAACUGCUUUGCUUUAUCUUGGCCAGGUUGCAGUUGUAAAUGAGAACUUGUUCUCAACUUGCCUACCUGGUUAAAUAAAGGUGUUCUCAACCAGCCUACCUGGUUAAAUAAAGGUGUUCUCAACUAGCCUACCUGGUUAAAUAAAGGUGAAAUAAAUAAAAUAAAAUAAAUAAAAAUCCUCUGUCCUGAAUGUUCUGUUAGUUCCUGGUAUCAUCUGUCCUGUUCUGUUAGUUCCUGGUAUCCUCUGUCCUGAAUGUUCCGUUAGUUCCUUGUAUCGGCUGUCCUGUUCUGUUAGUUCCUGGUAUCCUCUGUCCUGUUCUGUUAAUUCCUGGUAUCCUCUGUCCUGAAUGUUCUGUUAGUUCCUGGUAUCCUCUGUCCUGUUCUGUUAGUUCCUGGUAUCCUCUGUCCUGAAUGUUCUGUUAGUUCCUGGUAUCCUCUGUCCUGUUCUGUUGGUUCCUGGUAUCCUCUGUCCUGA
rnacentral:lncRNA from 13 species